rnacentral:rRNA from 1 species
UACGUAUGGAGCAAGCGUUAUCCGGACUUACUGGGUGUAAAGGGAGCGUAGGCGGUGCUAUAAGUCUGAUGUGAAAGCCCGGGGCUCAACCGCGGGACUGCAUUGGAAACUGUAGGACUGGAGUGUCGGAGGGGUAAGUGGAAUUCCUAGUGUAGCGGUGAAAUGCGUAGAUAUUAGGAGGAACACCGGUGGCGAAGGCGGCUUACUGGACGACAACUGACGCUGAGGCUCGAAAGCGUGGGGAGCAAACAGG